rnacentral:rRNA from 1 species
CCUACGGGCGGCAGCAGUGGGGGAUAUUGCACAAUGGGGGAAACCCUGAUGCAGCGACGCCGCGUGUGGGAAGACGGUCUUCUGGAUUGUAAACCACUGUCCCCAGGGACGAAAAUGACGGUACCUGGGGAGGAAGCUCCGGCUAACGACGUGCCAGCAGCCGCGGUAAUACGUAGGGAGCAAGCGUUGUCCGGAAUUACUGGGUGUAAAGGGAGCGUAGGCGGGGAUGCAAGUUGGGUGUCAAAACUACCGGCUCAACCGAUAGUCGCACUCAAAACUGCAACUCUUGAGUGAAGUAGAGGCAGGCGGAAUUCCUAGUGUAGCGGUGAAAUGCGUAGAUAUUAGGAGGAACACCAGUGGCGAAGGCGGCCUGCUGGGCUUUUACUGACGCUGAGGCUCGAAAGUGUGGGGAGCAAACAGGAUUAGAUACCCGGGUAGUC